CUCAGGGCCGCUGAAGCCAAUUGUGCUCUGCUUAUAAUUCUUAUCUCAUUGCAAUCAGGAGGGUUAUUUCCUGUCGCAUCUUCUUAAUUGGUGAAAACAAAGGCGAUUAUCGCUGGUGAAAUGUCCAGGGAACCUACUGAAGACUAUUUGAACAUUCAGGGAAUUAAUCUCUGCAAGCUACUCUGGAAACGAUCAAGUGGAUGGAGAGGCAGCAAGGAGGAUCAAUACAAAGGACACUGAAACUCCCUGAAAGUAGCACAGUUUCAACACAGCUACUGUGUG